rnacentral:rRNA from 1 species
GAUGAACGCUAGCUACAGGCUUAACACAUGCAAGUCGAGGGGUAACGAGAGGAAAGCUUGCUUUCCUUGUCGACGACCGGCGCACGGGUGAGUAACGCGUAUCCAACCUGCCCCCAACUAGGGAAUAACCUUGCGAAAGUAAGACUAAUACCCUAUAAUUUCCUCAGAUGUCAUCUGACGAGGAAUAAAGAUUUAUCGGUUGUGGAUGGGGAUGCGUCUGAUUAGCUUGUUGGCGGGGUAACGGCCCACCAAGGCAACGAUCAGUAGGGGUUCUGAGAGGAAGGUCCCCCACAUUGGAACUGAGACACGGUCCAAACUCCUACGGGAGGCAGCAGUGAGGAAUAUUGGUCAAUGGGCGGAAGCCUGAACCAGCCAAGUAGCGUGCAGGACGACGGCCCUAUGGGUUGUAAACUGCUAUUAUACAGGAAUAAAGUUAGCCACGUGUGGUUAUUUGUAGGUACUGUAUGAAUAAGGACCGGCUAAUUCCGUGCCAGCAGCCGCCGUAA